GUCUUUUUGAUAUCUAAUAAAAAGUCUAGCCUGCUCAAUGAAGUUAAAUGGCCGCGGUAUUUUGACCGUGCGAAGGUAGCAUAAUAAAUAGUCUAUUAAAUGUGGUCUGGAAUGAAAGGUUGAACGGGGGGUAGCUUUUUUAAUUUUAAUAAUGAAUUUAAAUUAUUAGUAAAAAUGCUAAUAUGAAUUAGGGGGACGAGAAGACCCUAUAGAGCUUUAUAUCUAUUUUUGUUUUUGUGGCAUAUUGUAAAAAAUGAUAUUUUGUUGGGGCGACAUAUAAUAAAAACAUUAUAAAUUAAGUCUAAUUAAUAGGUUUAAGAUCCAUUAUUAAUGAUUAGUAGACUAAGUUACCUUAGGGAUAACAGCGUAAUUUUAUUAUAGAGUUCUUAUCGAUAAUAAAGUUUGCGAC
rnacentral:rRNA from 1 species